rnacentral:rRNA from 1 species
CCUACGGGAGGCAGCAGUAAGGAAUAUUGGUCAAUGGAGGGAACUCUGAACCAGCCAUCCCGCGUGCAGGAUGAAGGGGCUCUGCCCUGUAAACUGCUUUUGAAUGGGACGAAAAAGCCUCACUUGUGAGGAACUGACGGUACCAUUAGAAUAAGCACCGGCUAACUCCGUGCCAGCAGCCGCGGUAAU